rnacentral:lncRNA from 1 species
CGAUCCGUCAGCAGGCGGCGUCCUCCGUCUGGGUGCCUGCAGACAAACCGGUGGCCGGGUUUUCCGGCGCCGGCCCUCCGACGCUCAAGUCAGGGAGGGGGCAGAUAGCGUAAGGAGGAGAUGAACAGUGCUUGUAAGGCGCGGAAUUUCCCAACCCCCUCCUGAGAAGCUAAGGCUCCCUUUUAUAGGUGGGGGUCGGUUUACCUGUGAUGUAACAGGGCGAGGCCAUAGUACGGCUCGGCAUGUGGCUCAGGUCGGCG